UCUGAGAUUAUAGGCACGAACCACUGCACCUAGCCUAUUUUCUUGACGCUCUGCCCUUUGUGCUGUUGGAAGCAGUUUUAAACAUGCUUUUCUACUACAGGAUGAUGCAUUUGUUAAGGUGAGAAAACUGAGGCUAAGAGAGGAAUUAAUGCUAGGAGAGGGUAAGUAGUUUGCCUACACUCAUAUAGCCAGUAAAUGGCGAGCCAGAAUUCAAACCUAGAUAUGACUUCAAAUUAUGUAAUUCUUAAUCUCUUUGGUUGCCAGGAAAUAUGAAAGUGUUACUGCCAUAGAUGAAAGAGACAUAAGACAUUUGAAAAGGGGACUAUCAAUAAAGCCAGCAGGUAAGUACCAAAUUAUCAAUAAAGAUAUAUACUAACAGGUUAGAUACAUAAAUUAACAGGUCAGAACAUGGAGGAAUGUCACAGAAGAAAAUGGUCUUGAACAUACAAGUAGGCAAGUAAGACAGGUAAACUGUGAAGAGAGGGAAAGUACAGAACAUUCAUGGCUACGGAAACGGAAUGAAUCUAAAGCAUGGAGAUGAAACACACAGGCAUGUUCAGGAGACAGUUUGUAUACACAGCAAGUUGGGAUAAGUUUAACUUCAGUUUCUUCAUUUUUCCUUAACUGCUUCAAACCCCUGCACAUUUCUGAAAAUAUUUCUAAGUGAAAAAAGGCACUUCUAACUAAACUUUUGAAAAUACAAUGUAAGCAAAUAUGCUGGGCAUAACACUACUCUUAUUAU